AUUGAACGCUGGCGGCAGGCUUAACACAUGCAAGUCGAGCGAGCGGCGGACGGGUGAGUAAUGUCUGGGAAACUGCCUGCUGGCGGGGGAUAACUACUGGAAACGGUAGCUAACACCGCCUACCAUCAUAUGUGCCCAGAUGGGAUGAGCUAGUAGGUGGGGUAAUGGCUCACCUAGGCGACGAUCCCUAGCUGGUCUGAGAGGAUGACCAGCCACACUGGAACUGGGAGACGGGCCAGACGCCUACGGGAGGCAGCAGUGGGGAAGAUUGCACAAUGGGCGCAAGCCGGGUGAAGCCAUGCCGGGUGUGUGAAGAAGGCCUUCGGGUUGUAAAGCACUUUCAGCGAGGAGGCGUUACUCGCAGAAGAAGCACCGGCUAACUCCGUGCCAGCAGCCGCGGUAAUAC
rnacentral:rRNA from 1 species